GACGAAUGCUGCCCGCGCGCUUAACAUAUGCAAGUUGAACGGAAAGGCCCUGUUUUUGUCGGGUGCUCGAGUGGCGAACGGGUGAGUAACACGUGCGUAACCUGCCCUUGACUAUGGGAUAAUUUCAGGAAACUGGGGCUAAUCCCGGAUAGGAGCUCCUGCUGCAUGGUGGGGGUUGGAAAGUUUCGGCGGUUGGGGAUGGACUCCCGGCUUAUCAGCUUGUCGGUGGGGUAGUGGCUUACCAAGGCUUUGACUGGUAGCCGGCCUGAGAGGGUGACCGGCCACGUUGGGACUGAGAUACGGCCCAGACUCCUACGGGAGGCAGCAGUGGGGAAUAUUGCACAAUGGGCGGAAGCCUGAUGCAGCAACGCCGCGUGCGGGAUGACGGCCUUCGGGUUGUAGACCGCUUUCGCCUGUGACGAAGCGUGAGUGACGGUAAUGUGUAAAGAAGCACCGGCUAACUACGAG
rnacentral:rRNA from 1 species